rnacentral:misc_RNA from 1 species
AACGGUCUAUACCUGCGGUACCUGCGGAGGGAUCAUUAACAAAUCUUUCUUGCGGGUCUGGCUGGGCCUGGAGGUCGUCAUUCGUUAGGGUGAUGGCUGGCUGGCCGGCCAGAUCGCGCACAUUGACUCGGGCUUGGUUGGCUGUAAAAAGCUAGCCGAGUCUUGAGACAACAUUCACGCUUGUUGGGUUUGACUGAGUCUAUGUAUGUGGCUUAAAAAUGACAACUUUUAACAAUGGAU